AACUGACACCAGAUUCGUGUUUGUGUCUCCUUGAUAGCAGUUCUCUGUAAAGAGCUGUCUUUGAUUUACCGUAGCAAGAUCGCUUGUGCUAGGACUGAUUUCAGGCAGCACCAUCCCCAUACAGACUGCGUAUGGGCGAAAGGCAGUUAGGAAGCAAGGAAAAAAAACCCCACAUUUACAUUCCUGUUCAUUCCCAACUUUCUGGCACCAAUGGGAAAUGAGGUGCAUUUCAUUAACGGAGAAUGUGCCUCUGUGUAAUUGCCCGGUAGCCGCUGUCCUCCGGAGCGGGCAGCAAAGCCUGGCGCCAGCAGCUCAUUAGGGAACACAAAUUCAUUAGCAGAGACCACAGCUCUAAUGGCAGUCCUUGACAGAGGUUUGCCUCCCAGCCACCUCCCCAGCAUUGCUCCGAGUGGGUGUGAAUAAAUCAAACGUCAGGAAUUGAGGUGGAAGAACUGAGCUAUAAGAGAGCUAGGGUAGUACAGGAGAGCAGGAACAGGACUGCUAGAGCUGAGAAAUCCCUAAUCCUUAUUCCAUGAUCAGACUUUGGCUCCUUCAUAAAACAAGGAUAGCAGAGGUCAUUUCUCCCUGGGUCUCCAUCAAUGAGAUGAAAGCUAUUGAGCAUUAAGUGAUCAUCUAGAGCCUUCUGCGUGUAUGUGUAUUCCCAGGUUGGUAAUAUCCUACCCAAAUGCAUAAAUCCAGUUCCUGGCUAUCUGCAGUGGAGUUUUCUCCAUCCUGUGCAAUGUAAUUUCAGGCGCUAUGUGCCGUGCAUAACCUGGCAACCCACCUACACACAGCAGCCGAACGGAGGCAAAGUUAUCUAAUAACAAUUGAAUAUUUGACUUGAAGCAACUUGCUUUGCAGCCUCGAACUAUUGACUUGCUGUGGUACCCGAGA